GCUCCCCUUCCGAGGCGUCUCCGCCCACACGGCGUAUCUCUGUCCACUAAGGGGAACAUCGCAGCACUGGCAGAGCUUCAGAAGCUCCGGCACAAUACCGCCUCGUACACAAUGGGGUUGUUCUCCUGCCAGGUUCCCUCACAGCGGAACACUUGGUCUUCAAGGUCCUCUUCAUCCUCCGCAGAAGAUGAAGAGGACCUGUGGGUGUGAUGGGACUCUCUUUGACUCCGCAGUCCUCAGAGUGACACAAUGAUGCUCAGUGAUUAGGGUUAUAGAGGUUUAGAGGAGAGGAGGUCUAGAGGUUAAUAGGAGAGGAGGCCAGGAGGUUUAGAGGAGAGGAGGUCCAGAGGUUAAGAGGAGAGGAGGUCUAGAGGUUAAGCGGAGGUCUGGUGGCCAGGAAGUUUAGAGGAGAGGAGGUCUAGAGGUUUAGAGGAGAGGAGGUCUAGAGGUUUAGAGGAGAGGAGGUCUAGAGGUUUAGAGGAGGUCUAGAGGUCUAGAGGUUUAGAGGCGAGGAGGUCUAGAGGAGGACAGGAGGAAGUAAGGACGGUGUCCAGGGGCGCCUCCAAGGGGCAACCACCAUAGAUUGACCGGCCAGUCCAAUGGCCCCCCUCACCCUGCCGGACUCCUCCUUAUGCAUCCCAUAAACAGCACUGCUAUCGUUAAGUAGAUAGGCAGAGAGGGCAUUGUUCUUUAUUGUAUUAUGCUGUAAACUAUGAAAUGUUUCUGUGUUAUUGAAUGUCC
ensembl:lncRNA